AUAGUGAUGGUGAUUUGCGGAGCUCUCUGGCAGAUUGGGCAGUUGAAUUUGGUAUUUCUCUAAUAGCUCUGUCAGCGCUUCUCAGCAUUCUCAAAAUCUACCAUCCCUCUCUGCCAAAGGAUGGACGAACACUGCUGAAAACAAAAACAUGCUACAACAUUAACAGUGUAGCUGGUGGUGUGUUCCACUAUUGUGGAAUUCUGAAUUCUAUCAGGAAAAUUUCAGAUAAAGUGUGGUCUACAGUGCCAGACGGACAUGCUUUUAAACUGCAGUUGAAUUUUGAUGGUCUGCCGCUUUGCAAGAGUACUAGUACACAGUUUUGGCCAAUUCUUGGUAUGUUGCAAAGAUACACCAAGAAACCAAUGUUGAUCGGACUGUUUUGUGGUACUUCUAAGCCAAAUUCGUUGGCCGAGUAUCACAUUGCCCAAUGCUCCAAAGAUCCCUAGGCAGUACAAAACUCCUACAUUAAAGCCAGGGAAGCAAGGCCAGAACCUCCAGCCAAGUGGCAACAGCAGUUCUGACUUCCCACCAAGUGGCAACAGCAGUCCUGAGCCAAGCCCAAGUCAGCACUCCUGUACUUCCAAGUUUCCUUCAAGCUGUCACACCAACACUGAGAACCGGACGCCGAGGCAUGCCAGCACCGAGAGCCGCCGGACGCCGAGGCACGCCAGCACCGAGAGCCGCCGGACGCCGAGGCACACCGAACGAUCUACAGUAUACUCCCAUCAAGGCACCCCGAGGCACACCAGACCAGGGAGCAGACAUCCAGUCUGCAAACUUCCCUUCUGCGUAGUAUAUUAACAAAACAGGAAAUGAUGAUGGACCAACUGCGCAUCAUCUUUAAGACCCCACAGGGUAUGAAAGCGACUGAUGAGGCAGAGAUAGGCCUGGAUCGAAAUUUGUUGCCCGUCAAAGACGUCAGUUCUCUUCAGAACCUGGAGGAACAACUGCAGAGUAUUCCUGACCUCCAGAAACAGUUGGUGAACACGCUGGCUCUCAAAGGGGGGACUGACAUUCGUGAGUGUGUUUGGAGGAUUAUGCACGCAAUGAUUACAAAAUCCUUGGCGAAGAAUAUCAACAUGAGAGGAAUAAAUGGAAAGAUUGGCUU